UACGUAGGGGGCAAGCGUUGUCCGGAUUUAUUGGGCGUAAAGAGCUCGUAGGUGGUUCGGUAAGUCGGAUGUGAAAUCUCCAGGCUCAACCUGGAGGGGUCAUUCGAUACUGCCGUGACUAGAGUUCGGUAGGGGAGUGUGGAAUUCCUGGUGGAGCGGUGAAAUGCGCAGAUAUCAGGAGGAACACCCGUAGCGAAGGCGGCACUCUGGGCCGAUACUGACACUGAGGAGCGAAAGCGUGGGAGCGAACAGG
rnacentral:rRNA from 1 species